rnacentral:rRNA from 1 species
CUAAGAGCAUACGGGGGAUGCCUUGGCACGAGUAGGCGAUGAAGGACGUGGUAAGCUGCGAUAAGCCUCGGGUAGGUGCAAACAACCUUAGACCCGGGGAUUUCCGAAUGGGGCAACCCUUCCCGAGUAAUGUCGGGAAACUUCCCGCUGAAUCAAAUAGGCGGGAUAGAGCGAACGGAGGGAAGUGAACCAUCUCAGUACCUCCAGGAAAAGAAAGCAAUUGCGAUUCUCUGAGUAGUGGCGAACGAAAAGGGAACAGCCUAAACCCGUCUUAUGUUAAAACCUGUGCGUGUUGUAAGACGGGGGUUGCGGGGUCCAACCGGGAUCUUGUACAGAAGAUCCGGAAAGUCAAAAAACCACUUUUUAGUCGAAUGGUUCUGGAAAGGCCAACCAGAGAGGGUGAUAGUCCUGUAGACGAAAAAGAGUGGUCUUUCUGGGUUGGAUUCCCAAGUACCGCGGGACACGUGAAAUCCUGUGGGAAUCUGGGUGGACCACCACCCAAGGUUAAAUACUCACUCGUGACCGAUAGUGAACCAGUACCGUGAGGGAAAGGUGAAAAGUACUCCUGUGAGGAGAGUGAAAUAGUACCUGAAACCGUAUGCUUACAAUCAGUCGGAGUCCGCCCCAGGCGGAUAACGGCGUGCCUUUUGCAUAAUGAGCUAGCGAGUUACUUGUAUGUUGCAAGGCUAAUCCGUUCAGCGGAGUAACCGUAGCGAAAGCGAGUCUGAAUAGGGCGUUCAGUAACAUGCAGUAGACCCGAAACCGGGUGAGCUACCCAUGGCCAGGAUGAAGUCGCGGUAACACGCGAUGGAGGUCCGAACCGGUGUAGGUUGAAAACUGCUCGGAUGAGCUGUGGGUAGGAGUGAAAGGCCAAUCAAACUCGGUGAUAGCUGGUUCUCCCCGAAAUAGCUUUAGGGCUAGCCUCAUACGAAUGUCGCGGAGGUAGAGCACUGAAUGGACUAGGGGCCUCACAAGGUUACCAAACCCAAUCAAACUCCGAAUGCCGUUGACAUGUUGUAUGGGAGUCAGGGCGCGAGGGAUAAGCUUCGCGUCCGAGAGGGAAACAACCCAGACCACCAGUUAAGGCCCCCAAAUGUGGGUUAAGUGAUAAAGGAUGUAGGAUCGCACAGACAACCAGGAUGUUGGCUUAGAAGCAGCCAUUCAUUUAAAGAGUGCGUAAUAGCUCACUGGUCAAGUAGUUCUGCGCCGAAAAUGAUCGGGACUUAAGCCUGCUGCCGAAACUGUGGUUUCCGCCUUAGGCGGAGAGGUAGGGGAGCGUUCCAUACGCCUGCGAAGGUGUUCCGCGAGGAAUGCUGGAGGUAUUGGAAAUGAGUAUGCUAGCAUAAGUAGCGAUAAUUCCGGUGAGAAACCGGAACACCGUAAAUCCAAGGUUUCCUGAGUAAAGCUAAUCUGCUCAGGGUUAGUCGGACCCUAAGCUGAGGCCGAAAGGCGUAAGCGAUGGAAAACGGGUUAAAUAUUCCCGUACCACCUAUGUUCCGUUUGACCUAUGGGGGGACGCAGGGGUGAAAGGUCAGCCAGGUACUGGAUAUCCUGGUCUAAGCGUGUAGGCAGGAGAGGCAGGCAAAUCCACUUCUCCGCUAAUGCCGAGACGUGAAUGGGAGGGCUAUGCCCGCAAACUGACCCUAAUCGGACUGCCAAGAAAAGCCUCUAUGGAAGGGGCAUGGGUGACCGUACCGUAAACCGACACAGGUAGAUGAGGAGAGUAUCCUAAGGUGCUCGAGAUAGCCGCAGUUAAGGAACUCGGCAAAAUGACCCCGUAACUUCGGAAGAAGGGGUGCCCCCGGUAUGUGAAUCCCCUCGCGGGAGGAGCUGAAAGGGGCCACAGAAAAUCGGCUCCAGCGACUGUUUAACAAAAACACAGGUCUCUGCCAAGUCGCAAGACGAUGUAUAGGGACUGACACCUGCCCGGUGCCGGAAGGUUAAGGGAAGGGGUCAUCCGCCUUCGGGUGGAGAAGCUCUGAACCGAAGCCCCGGUAAACGGCGGCCGUAACUAUAACGGUCCUAAGGUAGCGAAAUUCCUUGUCGGGUAAGUUCCGACCUGCACGAAUGGUGUAACGACUGGAGCACUGUCUCAACUGCGGCCUCGGCGAAAUUGUAGUGGCGGUGAAGAUGCCGCCUACCCGCGGAUGGACGGAAAGACCCCGUGAACCUUUACUAUAGCUUAGCACUGGCUUUUGGCAAAGCAUGUGUAGGAUAGGUGGGAGGCUAUGAGUCCCGGACGCCAGUUCGGGAGGAGCCAUCCUUGAAAUACCACCCUUGUUCUGUCGGAAUCCUAACCGCAGUCCUUGAAUCAGGGCUCGGAACAAUGCUAGGUGGGUAGUUUGACUGGGGCGGUCACCUCCCAAAGAGUAACGGAGGUGCCCAAAGGUUCCCUCAGCACGAUUGGUAACCGUGCGUCGAGUGUAAAGGCAUAAGGGAGCUUAACUGCGAGACCUACAAGUCGAGCAGGUGCGAAAGCAGGGCUUAGUGAUCCGGCGGUUCCGAGUGGAAGGGCCGUCGCUCAACGGAUAAAAGGUACUCCGGGGAUAACAGGCUUAUCGGGUCCAAGAGUCCACAUCGACGACCCGGUUUGGCACCUCGAUGUCGGCUCAUCGCAUCCUGGGGCUGGAGCAGGUCCCAAGGGUUUGGCUGUUCGCCAAUUAAAGCGGUACGUGAGCUGGGUUCAGAACGUCGUAAGACAGUUCGGUCCCUAUCCUCCGUGGGCGCAGGAGAUUUGAAGGGAGCUACUCCUAGUACGAGAGGACCGGAGUGGACGAACCUCUAGUGCACCAGUUGUUCUGCCAGGAGCAUGGCUGGGUAGCUACGUUCGGUCGGGAUAACCGCUGAAAGCAUCUAAGUGGGAAGCCCACCCUAAGAUAAGAUCUCCCUUCCGCCGCAAGGCGGUCUAAAGGCUCCUGGGAGAUGACCAGGUAAUAGGCCGGAGGUGUAAGUAUGGCAACAUAUUCAGCCGACCGGUACUAAUCAGCCGUGAGGCUUGACA